AUGGAUCAGUUGGCCCAUGAGCUGGAAAGUAAACUGGCCACCCUGAACUCAUCCAAGGCGCAGGUCCUCGACCGUCGCCGUCCUUGUUCCAUCAUCGUCGGCAAGGUCCGUGACCUCACGCGGAACGUCGACAGCAGCGAGUACGAUCCUGACCACGUCGACAUCGGCCCGUACAACUACCCUCGGCCCCAGAGCAGAAGCCCACACCUCGCCGUGGAGCACGACAAGCUGGCUAGCCUCGACCUGGUGCUCUCGGCGGCGAAGGCAACGAGACCCACCAUGACGGUAGAGGUCUACCUCAAGGAGCUGGCAUGCCUCGAGCACCACACCAGGAACUGCUACGCCAACACAUUUGAUGACAUGUCGAGCGAGCAAUUCGUGCGCAUGCUCCUCCUCGACGGCUGUUACAUACUGUCCCGCCUCGUCGGACUCCGAGCACAUCAUCUAGAUCUAGAUGAUGUGGGCACUGCAGAGGCCGGCGUCUCGUCGGCAAACAGGGCGGAGGCGCUAGCGGUGGUCCGCGACGUGUUCUAUCUCGCGGAGAACCAGAUACCGUACUUCGUGCUUGAGAAGAUCGGGGAGCUGACCACUUUGGAUGGUAAGGAACGUGUGCUUACAGACAUAUCAAAUUAUUCACUUGAUCUCAUGAGGAGACAAAAGUACGCCAUGGCCGCGCCGGCCAUGGUGCCACCAGAGCCGAUGGUGCCGGGAAAUCUUCUCCAUCUUCUUCAUAUGCACUUGAAGCCUGUUGCACUGUCCGUCUCGCCUGCCAUGCCGGUUAGCACAGUCGAUCCCGUGUCUGUGCGCCGGUGGCGCUCGGCGACGGAGUACAACUUCGCGGGAGUGAAGUUCAAGGCUCGGGCCAUGAGCGAGAAGGGUCUCAUCCGCUGCAUCCUCGACGUGAAGUUGGACGUCGGUGGCGGCACACUGGAGGUCCCCUGCCUGGACAUCGACUCCGAGACAUGGCGGUUAUUACGCAACUUGAUAGAGCUGGAGCAACGGAACCGGGAGACCGUGGGGAGCCACGUCACGGCAUACUGCGUGUUCAUAUCCCAGGUGGCCUGCACCACGAAGGACGUGGAGCUCCUGUCGAAGAGAGGCGUCAUCGUGCAUGGCCAUGGCAACAACGAAGAGGUGGCAAAAUGCUUCGCCGACCUUUGCAAGGGGAUCCAGUUCGACCCGGAUGACCCCGACUGCAACUACCUUCGGGAGACAUGCAAGAAGCUGGAGAAGCGGUUCCACAGCUACCCGCGGAGGUGGAUUGCGUGGCUAAAGCAGAGGUACUUGAGAAACCCUUGGCUAGCCGUUGGCCUCCUGGCAGCUGCUAUUGGCCUAGUUCUCGCAGUCAUCCAAACAGUCUACUCUGUUUUGUGUUACUACAAACAAUGA
rnacentral:rRNA from 1 species